rnacentral:rRNA from 1 species
ACGAAGGGUGCAAGCGUUACUCGGAAUUACUGGGCGUAAAGCGUGCGUAGGUGGUUUGUUAAGUCUGAUGUGAAAGCCCUGGGCUCAACCUGGGAAUGGCAUUGGAAACUGGCGGACUCGAGUGCGGUAGAGGGGUGUGGAAUUCCCGGUGUAGCAGUGAAAUGCGUAGAGAUCGGGAGGAACAUCUGUGGCGAAGGCGACUGCCUGGACCAGCACUGACACUGAGGCACGAAAGCGUGGGGAGCAAACAGG